rnacentral:lncRNA from 1 species
AGGUUCGAGACCUGGAGGAGCAGGUAAGGCCAGGGGGUGGGAGGGCUCAGCAAGGCAGGCCAGGGGACAGAGAGGCUGUGGGACCAGACCUAGCCAAUGGCUUGGGACUUAGCCCUGCCUGUUAGUAACUGGUUGUGUGGCCUGGAACUACCCAGUGGCCUGCUCUGACCCCCGCCUUCCGUCCUGAGGGUCCUCAUACCUGCUUCCAGGGCCAUCGGCAGAGGCUUCAGCUUAAGUAUGGGCUGGGUGAUCCUGCCACACAGCCAAGGAUGCUUCAGGUGGAUGGGUGACAUGUGCUAAGGCCCGGUGGUGGAACAGAGUAGGCUGUUAUUGGGGCAGGGGGUGGGAGGAGCACAGUGGGGCCCUGAGUGGCUGCAGUGGGGUGUUGGCGGCAAGUAGGAACUGGGAAGGGGGCCCUGCGUGCUGAAGGGCUGCGGUUCACAUUGCCUUAGAUUGAGACGGAGAUGGGCAAGAAGACCCUCAGCAACUUGGACAAGAUCCGCGAGGACUACCGAGCCCUUCGCCAGGAGAAUGCUGGGCUCCUGGGCCGGGUCCGCGAGGCCUGAGCAGCCCCACCAGAGGUCUGCCCCCGGCCUCAGGCAGGGAUAUGGAGUGCUGGUGGCACUGGCCCUCGCUAUGCCCUCUGAUUACCAUCCAGUUCCUCCUGCUGCAGCCUUGGCCCCAGACCCUCGCCCACCUCACCCCGACCCUUAUCUGGGGCAAUCAUCCAGAGUGUGGGAGCUUGGCUUCAGUUUAUUGUGGAGGGCAUGGGGCGGGGGUUGGGGUCUUGGAUCUCAAAUAAAUGAGGGGCUCUGUCUGCAGUCAAAGCUGAGGCAUGGAACAGGGUGCAGGGCUCAGGGUGGGGGAGGGGUGGGUGGCAGGUGAGACACUGGAUACAUUUGGUGAGUUGGUGUGUGUAGCCCUGGGCAUCUGCCUGGGACUCCNNNNNNNNNNNNNNNNNNNNNNNNNNNNNNNNNNNNNNUGAGAUGUGCUGGUGAGUUCAGAGUCUGUGUGACCAAGCAUGUUUGUCGGGAGCCAUGCGUUACCAUGUGUGACCUGCGUGCAUGCGUCUGGGUGGCUUUCUGGAGCCUGACUUCCUGAAGGUCCUAAGGCUGCUUCUGUGCUGUUGUCAGGGCCUGCCUCAUGUGACACUGCACCUGUGGGCCUGGAAGCCAGCUGUGGGUAUGUGCUUUGGGGG